UCUGGUUCGGGUGGGUCGUCAGGC
rnacentral:piRNA from 1 species